GAUGAACGCUAGCGACAGGCCUAACACAUGCAAGUCGAGGGGUAACGAUGGUGCUUGCACCAGGCGACGACCGGCGCACGGGUGAGUAACGCGUAUGCAACCUGCCUUGUACUGGGGGAUAGCCCAGAGAAAUCUGGAUUAAUACCGCAUAAUUAUUACAAUUCGCAUGUUUUGUAAUUUAAAACUCCGGUGGUACAAGAUGGGCAUGCGUAGCAUUAGUUAGUUGGUGAGGUAACGGCUCACCAAGACGAUGAUGCUUAGGGGGUCUGAGAGGAUAGUCCCCCACACUGGUACUGAGACACGGACCAGACUCCUACGGGA
rnacentral:rRNA from 1 species